GGAUGAACGUUGGCGGUGUGCCUAAUACAUGCAAGUCGAACGGAGUUAAUAGCAAUAUUGACUUAGUGGCGAACGGGUGAGUAACGCGUUGGUGAUCUGCCUUGAAGUGUGGAAUAACGCUCCGAAAGGAGCGCUAAUACCGCAUGUGCUCUCAAUUUUUAGAAACUUGAGAGGAAAGGAUUUAUUCGCUUCGAGAGGAGCCUGCGUCCCAUCAGCUGGUUGGUAGGGUAAAGGCCUACCAAGGCUAUGACGGGUAGGGGACCUGAGAGGGUGGCCCCCCACAAUGGAACUGAAACACGGUCCAUACACCUACGGGUGGCAGCAGUAGGGAAUAUUAGAAAUGGACGAAAGUCUGAUCUAGCAACACCGCGUGUGCGAAGAAGGCCUUCGGGUCGUAAAGCACUUUUUGGAAGGAAUAGGAAGGAAUGUACUUCCAGAAUAAGUCUCGGCUAACUACGUGCCAGCAGCCGCGGUAACACGUAGGAGGCAAACGUUAUCCGGAUUUACUGGGCGUAAAGCGCGUGUAGGUGGUUCUGUAAGUAGGGCGUGAAAGCUCCCGGCUCAACUGGGAGAGGCCGUUCUAAACUGCAGAGCUAGAGGNUAGUAGAGGUAGGCGGAAUUCCGAGUGUAGCGGUAAAAUNNNNNGAUAUUCGGAAGAACACCCAGUGGCGAAGGCGGCCUUCUGGACUACAACUGACGCUCAGACGCGAAAGCCAGGGUNNNAAACGGGAUUAGAGACCCCGGUAGUCCUGGCAGUAAACGAUGUGGACAUGGCGUAGGGGGGUUCAAAUCCCUUUGUGCCGGAGCAAACGCGAUAAGUCCACCACCUGGGGACUACGGCCGCAAGGUUAAAACUCAAAGGAAUUGACGGGGGCCCGCACAAGCAGCGGAGCGUGUGGUUUAAUUCGAUGCUACACGAAGAACCUUACCAGGGUUUGACAUACACAUGGUAGAGACGUGAAAGCGUCUUGACCCUUCGGGGAGUGUGAACAGGUGUUGCAUGGCUGUCGUCAGCUCGUGUCGUGAGAUGUUCGGUUAAGUCCGCUAACGAGCGCAACCCACAUUGCGUGUUACAAGUGUCACGCGACACUGCCGGUCUUAAGCCGGAGGAAGGUGUGGACGACGUCAAGUCAGCAUGACCUAUAUAUCCUGGGCUACACACACGCUACAAUGGCCGGUACAACGGGUAGCGAAGCCGCGAGGCGGAGCCAAUCCAGAAAGCCGGUCUCAGUUCAGAUUACAGGCNGCAACCCGCCUGUAUGAAGAUGGAGUUGCUGGUAACCGCAGGUCAGCUAUACUGCGGUGAAUACGUUCCCGNNNCU
rnacentral:rRNA from 1 species